CGUGAGCUCAUGUUUAUGUGGGUAUCAUUAGCAAAAUAAACAUAUUUUUACUAGAAAAGAUGAUAUCAAUAUGUUGUGUCUAUCGUGAAUUAUCAGAGUAACUGAAAUUAUUUAACGAAUUCGCGCUUAGUUUGCAAUAGAAUACCCUAUAAAGAAGGCUGUGUAUUUUGACGACAAAACCGAUAAAGGUGUGCCUCUCACCCACGAUUUGGCUCCAGAUGUGUUAAAUGAUGGUAACUAGUCCGAAAUAGAGGAUUUAGAUGGCGAAAAUGAUGUUGCUUUUGACGUUCAGAUGUUUAAAAAUAACACCGAUGACAAGGAUAUUGAAGAAACUGUGUUAGAUGAAGAACCUGUAUUGGAUGAAGAACCUGUUCCUUCAACGAGCUCCUCUUCAGCAAAGAGACAAUGGAAAGACAUGACAUUUCAGCAAAAAAUGUUUAUUCUAUUUUAGUUAGUAUGUAAUAACAUAUUAAACAGUCAUAAAAAUAAUUUUUAAUUGAC
rnacentral:lncRNA from 1 species